CUACUCCUGUACUUGAUCGGUGUCUCGAGCCGAGUUAAGGCUAAUAGUCCUUCCGGUGUAUGGUAAUGACUAGAACCUUGACUCUGCUCGAGUUACUGAGCUCUUUGACCCCGCCCC
rnacentral:pre_miRNA from 14 species